GACGAACCGAGCGAACGUUAUUCGGAAUCACUGGGCUUAAAGGGCGCGUAGGCGGUGUGUCAAGUCAGGCGUGAAAGCCCCGGGCUCAACCUGGGAACCGCGCUUGAGACUGGCACGCUCGAGUUCGGGAGAGGAUGGUGGAAUUCCCAGUGUAGAGGUGAAAUUCGUAGAUAUUGGGAAGAACACCGAUGGCGAAGGCAGCCAUCUGGACCGACACUGACGCUGAGGCGCGAAAGCGUGGGGAGCAAACAGG
rnacentral:rRNA from 1 species